UUUUAUUUGAGAGUUUGAUCCUGGCUCAGGAUGAACGCUGGCGGCGUGCCUAACACAUGCAAGUUGAGCGAUUUACUUCGGUAAAGAGCGGCGGACGGGUGAGUAACGCGUGGGUAACCUACCCUGUACACACGGAUAACAUACCGAAAGGUAUGCUAAUACGGGAUAAUAUAUUUGAGAGGCAUCUCUUAAAUAUCAAAGGUGAGCUAGUACAGGAUGGACCCGCGUCUGAUUAGCUAGUUGGUAAGGUAACGGCUUACCAAGGCGACGAUCAGUAGCCGACCUGAGAGGGUGAUCGGCCACAUUGGAACUGAGACACGGUCCAAACUCCUACGGGAGGCAGCAGUGGGGAAUAUUGCACAAUGGGCGAAAGCCUGAUGCAGCAACGCCGCGUGAGUGAUGAAGGCCUUCGGGUCGUAAAACUCUGUCCUCAAGGAAGAUAAUGACGGUACUUGAGGAGGAAGCCCCGGCUAACUACGUGCCAGCAGCCGCGGUAAUACGUAGGGGGCUAGCGUUAUCCGGAUUUACUGGGCGUAAAGGGUGCGUAGGCGGUCUUUCAAGUCAGGAGUGAAAGGCUACGGCUCAACCGUAGUAAGCUCUUGAAACUGGGAGACUUGAGUGCAGGAGAGGAGAGUGGAAUUCCUAGUGUAGCGGUGAAAUGCGUAGAUAUUAGGAGGAACACCAGU
rnacentral:rRNA from 1 species